rnacentral:lncRNA from 1 species
AUGGAGGUCAUUAAUGCUCCCCAACGUAUUUGCAGGACACAUCACGUCGUUUUUUGCCAAGGGGAAACCAACUCCCCACGACUCUCCCCCUUAAGGUUCGUUGACUUUGACACCCUCUCCCAAACAAACCACCUAUUCCGUUACCCAACCUGUGCACUUCUCAAAUGGGGGGAAAGCCCCCCCCCAAAUGUCCCCAUGGGCCUUUUCCUGGCAUCCGCGGGGGAAAUUCCAUCCCGAAUCUCUCCGGAACAACGGGGAGGGGAUGCUCGGCGCUUCCCAGGUUUCCAGAAGGCCCCCUCCCCAAACGCCUGGCCCUGCGCAAUCCCUCUUAACCCCACCCACCCAGUUACGUCGAUCCUGAAGUAUUGGCGAGGGGGGGAGCCCCAUUCUCCCGUCCCCCGGCCCAGGCCUGGGUGGGGCAACUGCUCCCCACCCCUUCCCCGACCACGAUCCCGCGAGGCCCCAUCGGGGGGCCGGCGAGGCAGAAGGGGCGCAGCCCUGCCCAGCCGGGGGCGCCUGCCUGCCGACGGAAGCAGCGAACCCGGGAGGAGGAGGAGGACGCGGAGGCGGCGCGCUUGCGGAGGGGAAGGGGGGACCAAAGAGAUGCGAUGCCUCCCCUCCGUCCGCUUUGAUUUCCGAGCAAGGCUGCUUUUUGGGGGGGGGAGCAAGAGGUGGGCCUGUGCCCUUCGCAGCUGUCACUCGAGUUGGGGUGAAAGGCGGAGGGAGGGAGGGAUCUGUUGGAGGGGAGGGGGCGCGGGAAAGGGAUGCGGAAAGGCGGGGGCGGCGGGGAUCCCCGGAAAGAGGCGUCGCGGGAGGAGGGGGGGCGUCGUCGGUGCGCGGAAAAAGAGGAGGGCGAGAGAAGGAGAGAGGAGGGGAGACUCCCCUGCCAGCCCCCCACCACCACCCCAUCCAUCCCUGCAUCCCAUCCCUGCCCGCUUCGCCUUACCCGGGUGCGGCGGGGCUCCGACGCCUCCUCCGCCGCCUCUUCCCGGCUCCGCAUCCACGGUGAGCCCGGCGCGGGUCCUCCGACGCCUCCUCCGCUGCUGCCGCCCUGGGCCGCCCCUCCCCGGCUGCUGCUGCUGCUGCUCCUCCGCCAGCCCCCCGCCCGAUCCUCCCGAUCCGCCUCUUCUCUCCGCUGCGGACGCCCCGUCUCGUCUCGCCGCUGCCUCGGAUCCUCCGCGCACGCGCCUUCAGUCCAGCUGGACUCGGCCCCGCCCCCGCGGCUCUGCGAUAUGCAAAUACAGACACGCCCCUCCCCGCCGGCGCGCUCUUCUCGCCGCAAAACUCCGCCUCCCGCGCCUCCGCCGGUUUUUAUUGGCUCCGCGCUCCUGA